GUUUUAAUAAAGCUAAAUGAUUGCUGAAAAUCCAAAUUGUUUUAAAAUACAAGCUAGAUCAGCUAAUAUAAGAAUCCAGAAUAGUGUAUAAGCCAGCUAGCUAACUCGUAAUCAAAGUGAGUUCUUUGAAUGAAACACGUUGACUGAAUUUGUUGGUUUUAAUAAAAUUAGACUGAAGGUAAUACUACUUGCUUUAAAGUCAACCAAUGAACAAGUUGAAUUAGCCUUUAAGCUAACCUUUAAUGUUUAAUGUAUAACAGGUGAUCAACAAUAAUAAUAAAAAACAACAACACACCACUAUCAACAGUACAUAUGCUGCAGGUAUGUUCAUGCUGGUUAACAAAAUGGGUAUUUUAUUUGGGGGGGGGAGAACUGCUACUGGAGUUAACGGUGAAUCUUUGGUUUGUUAGCUGAUGAGGUUUCUGUUGUUCUUUUAACCUUUUUUUUACUUUGAAAAACUGCAUAGGCACACGUUAAAGACACUCUUCAACCGUGAGAAACACAUUAAUGUUCUGCCUUUUUUUGGGUGGAUCGAAGGGAAGAAAAUGGUCAACGGUGUCCUCCGUUCGUUCCUUCCCUCCUUCUCAUGUGGUUUUACCCUUUUUCAGUCCCCAACUUGCUUCCCCUUAAAGAUUGCCUGACUUAAUAUCAGGCAGAACAAAGCUACUUCUCCAUUCUCGUGGUGUCAUCCUUCCUCAUGUCCUCCCUUGUCAUCGUUGUCCUCCAUCCUCGACGUUGUCGGUGCCACUCUUUUUUUCUUUUUGUUUUUUUCUUUUUUUUGGUAAUAAUUCUCUUCCAUCAUCAGUUUUUCCCAUUUGUUGGAACAGUUAGGUGCAGAAAAAAAGUUUUCUUUGGUUUCGAUUUGUCAAUAAAUAGAAAAAGUCUUAAGUGUCCUUUUUUUUUUUUUUUUUAAUGUUAAAUCGUUCUUAAAGCCUUUGGCUUGCCUCUAACCAGGCCAAGACUCAGCCUGGGGUUUCUAAGGAGCAGGGGCUGCUGACUGGCGCGUUUCCUUUGGUUUGGUUUCCUUUCUUUUUUUGGUUUGAUAGCUUGAGUGAAAGAUGAUUGAUGAAGUGACUGCAAAUGGUAAAGGCUGCCAAAACUGAGCUGGAGGUGAUGGUGCUUGAGGUUUUGUGGGUUUGUUAGUAUUUACAUCAUGCGUAAAGGCUGUAAAGUGUGACAGUAAAACCUUCAAAUCAAUGGGUAUUGGAGGAUUUGGUAGCUAUGGAUGCUUGGACACAAGGACAGUCACAAAUAUGGGGAGAAGAGUCUAGUUUUUGUGUCACAGCCCAUCUGUCUGUUGACUGUCCAUCCCUUUUACCAAGCAUCCAACUUUCCUACACUGCAAACAAACUACAUUUUUGAGUGUUGUCCUCAAACUUGCAUUGCAUUAGAGCUGAUCUUUUCAAGUUGACAUUUGCUUUAUCUUAAUAAAUCAGCACAAUUUGAUGUACACAUUUAUCAAAGAUCAUUUGUUUGCAGCAAAUGCUCUUUUCCAACCCACUGACCCUCUGGAAGAGACAGACUAACCAGGCAUCGUCUUUAGAUUGUCCUCUUUAACUAUUACAAAGGCCCUGAUUCGCCUGGACAGUUUGUCCUUCUUGGGCUCAGAUGGUUAACUGGUUCUGCGGAUGUGUUGAUGCAGUGGGAGGUUUUGGUUUGCUUACCUGUGGUAGCAGUGAGGGCAGAUCAAAGCUUUCCAAAAAGCAUCUUGGCUUAAAACUGGAUUUAUACCAAAAAAUUUUCAAUCCAGAACAUUCUUUAUUCUUAAAAAAAUUUAAAGUUUUGGUUUCAAUAUUUUUUGUGGUUGACUAAAAAAGAGCGGUAGAAAUCACUCUCAACAUAACGUAGCCUUGUUUUCCCAAUAAUUGUGCUUUUUUUUUUCACAAAUUUUGACUUAAGGGUCCAAAGAAACCAAUGUAGGAUCAUUUUUG
ensembl:lncRNA